UUUCACAGGAAUUUUCAAUUGGCCGGAUAAUUGAAGAGAUGUUGGCGUGGGCUCCCACCCUGGCAUCCGAAACUCGGAGUUUUGCACCAUUUUUGUAUGGUGUUCCUUCCUGUUUAACCCCUGUUCGACUAGACCUUUGACAAAAUGUGACCUAGCCGUGGCCGUCCUGACUAUUUUAAGAUAGUAUCUUACAAUAACAUUAAUCAAUAAUGAUAAUUACACAAUUCAGUGUAUUCCAAGAGUUCUGUGUCAAUGUGAUACUGAUAGGUAAAACGAUUUCAGGGACAAAAACAAAGACAGUUUCAAAUUUUGGUACAAAGCCAGUAAGUUCGUAGGAAGAGGUAGUCGAUUACAUCGACCCCAGAGUUCAACUGGUACUUAUUUUAUCGACCCCAAAAGGAUGAAUGACAAAGUCAACCUCAGAAGAAUUUGAACUCAGAAUGUAAAAAUGGAAUGCUGCCAAGUAAAAGAAUAACAGAAAACUUCUAACACUGGAGAUGUACUACGGUCCCAGCUGUUCACUACCAGUGAACUAAGGUAACAACCCUUAUUUUUCGAUCACCAUCCGGAGUAUUCGAGCGGUUCCAAGCAGCCAGAGACAAUAUGAUUUAUUGUUUUUUGUCCAUCUCCACCUAUUCUGCAGCUACUUGUUAUGUUACUUUUUAUUAUAUGUUUUUGGUAAUUCCUGAUGGGAAGGCUUUGAUUUUGUGCUGCGAUUAAAAAUCCAUCAGUCUCUGCUUUUAGUCUU